rnacentral:rRNA from 1 species
UAAACUAGGAUUAGAUACCCUAUUAUUAAAAAUGUAAAUUGAUUACUAGUGUAGUAUUAGAUAUGUUCUUUAAAUAUAAAGGAUUUGGCGGUAUUUUAGUCUUUUCAGAGGAACCUGUUCUAUAAUUGAUAGUCCACGAUUAAUAUUACUUAUUUUAUUAGUUUGUAUAUCGUCGUAGUUUGAAUGUUUUAAAAGAAUUUAAUGUUCAAGAUUUAUAAUUAUAAAGAAAAUCAGAUCAAGGUGCAGUUUAUAAAUAAGUAGAAAUGGGUUACAAUAAAUUUAUUUAAAUGGUAGAAAUAAUUAAAGUUAUUUUUUAAAGUGGAUUUGAAGGUAAUAUUAUUAAUUUAAAUUAUAUGAUUAAAGCUCUAGGAUAUGCACAUAUCGCCCGUCGCUCCCUCUUUAAAGAGGGAUAAGUCGUAACAAAGUAGGUGUACCGGAAGGUGUAGCUAGAAUUGCAAAUUAGAGCUUGUUAAGUAUUUUAGUUACAUUAAAGAGUUAGUUGUGUAAAUCAAUUUAAUUUGAUAAUAAUUUUAUUAUAGUCAAUAUUAAAAAAAGUAUUUUUAUUUUUAGUAAUUAUUUUGAAACAAAGGGAUUAGUUAUAGUGUAAUAGUAUUGUGGAGGUAAAAUUAAAUAAUUGAAAAUUAAAUUUUUUAGAAGAAAAAUUAAGAGUUUGUACCUUGUGUAUCAGGGUUUAUUUAAAAUAAAUUAAGAAUUUAAUAUUCUCGAAUUAAGAAGAGUUAUUAAUUUAUAAAUUUAAUUGUAAUAUAAAUUUUUAUAAUAAGUUAAUAGAAAUGAAACGUUAUUCGUUUUUUAAGAUAUCUAGUUUUUUAAGAAAUAAGUUUAAUUUAGUUAAUUGAAUAUAGUUAUUUAUUUUAUAAAUAAGGUGUUUUUAUUAGUUAAAAUUUUAAGGGAUAAGCUUUAAAAUUGAAUUUUAUAAAUUUUGUUGUUGUUGAUAUUAAUAGAAUUAGAAGUUUUUAUUUUUAGUGUGUUAUAAUUAUGAUUUUUGUUGAUAUGAUUUAUAUUAGUAUUUUAGUUGUUAUAUUAAAAUGAUAUAUUAAAUUUUAUUUUAUAGGUAAUAAUGAUUAAAUUAGUAUAAAUUAAUUUGUGUAUUUAAAUUUUAGUAUUUAGAUAAAGUUAAGGAAUUCGGCAAAAUUAUUUUUCGCCUGUUUAUUAAAAACAUGUCUUUUUGUUUAUAAUUUAAAGUCUAACCUGCCCAAUGAGAAUUUAAAUGGCCGCGGUAUUUUGACCGUGCAAAGGUAGCAUAAUAAUUAGUUUUUUAAUUGAAAGCUGGAAUGAAUGGUUGGACGAGAAAAUUACUGUCUCAAUUUUAUAUUUUUAGAAUUUUAUUUUUAAGUAAAAAAGCUUAAAUAGGUUUAAAAGACGAGAAGACCCUAUAGAGUUUUAUAUUUAUUUUUAUAAUAAUUUUUUAGUAUUUUUAAUUUAUUAUAGAAUAAAGUAUUUUGUUGGGGUGAUAAAAAAAUUAAAUUAACUUUUUUUCUUUAUUUUCAUUGAUUUAUGAUAGAUUGAGCCAUUUUUAAUGAUUAAAAGAUUAAAUUACCUUAGGGAUAACAGCGUAAUUUUUUUUAAGAGUUCUAAUCGAUAAAAAAGUUUGCGACCUCGAUGUUGGAUUAAAGUAAAUUAUUGGUGUAGAAGCUAAAUAAUUAGGUCUGUUCGACCUUUAAAACUUUACAUGAUCUGAGUUCAAAACCGGAGA